rnacentral:rRNA from 1 species
UAACACCAGAAGCGUCGGGAUAACCCGGCACCAAGGUGGGAUCGGUAAGGAAAGCUAAGUCGUAACAAGGUAUCCGUAGGGGAAUCUGCGGAUGGAUCACCUCCUUU